rnacentral:siRNA from 1 species
UUUCUUUCAAAAUAUUGUGUCUA